AUUAAAAUGCAUAUAACAAAUUCAAAUUACCCGCUUAGUGUGUACACGGAUUACGUCCGGCUAUAACGUGACAUUCGAGAGUGACAAUGAGAGCGGACCAAUGAGAAUCAUCUUUCACGCAGCGCUGCUUGGCGGUAGCGCCAAAGCUAUCAGAAUUUCUGAAAAGCUGCAAAGCUUAUAAUUUAUUGGUUAUUGGCAUAAACAAAUUAUUAUGUGCUAUUACACAAAUCUUGAUUUUUUAAAUUACCUAUAUGAUUGUAGAUUUAUUAGUUACUAGAAUACUAUCUUUCUAAGCAAGACAAAAUUUAGGUUUUGUCAAUAUCGGUUUAUCAGUGAUGUAAUAUCCGGGGUGCGACAAUUUAGCACUUUUCCAUGAUUGAAAUUGGAGCAGGAGACAACUGCUGCUUGUCUUUAUCUAUGUUUAUCUCUGGUUACGUGCAUGACGUGUUUUUCAAAAACUUGAGAAUGUUAAAAAUCCAUAUUAAUCGAUGCGAAAAAUAAAUAUGAGUCAAAAUAUAAAAACCGUGCUUGUGCCAUAGUGUUAUGAUGUAUCUUCAAGACGGAAAUUACGGUAUAACUAUGGCUUAAAACCCCGCAAACAUGUAAAGGUGAUACCGCUGUUCUGGACUUGAAGCAUUGAAGACGCUACGGAUCACGUGAGAAAACCACACACGAAAAAUGUUCGCAUCAGAGACAAGUAAGGUUGUCUAAACCUAAUUAUUUUUCUAUUAAUGUAAAACUAUUAUCUGUAUUUUUUUAUUUUUACCAGUUUGAUUUUGGUUGAUUUCUAUUUUGCGAUAAGCACGUAUUCUUGGAUCGAAGGAAAGCAACAAAAGUAAAAUGAAAGUAAUGUAUCAAUGCAAAUUGCUAUACCUAACUGUAUUUCUACACAAUAGAAUAAUCUGUGGAUGAACGAAAAUACUCUUCUAUCAAUGUAAAACUAGUAACUGUAUUUUGUUGUUGUGACCAAUAUUCAAAUUUGUAAUUGCUUA